rnacentral:rRNA from 1 species
AACGCGAAGAACCUUACCUAAGCUUGACAUCCUUUUGACCGAUGCCUAAUCGCAUCUUUCCCUUCGGGGACAGAAGUGACAGGUGGUGCAUGGUUGUCGUCAGCUCGUGUCGUGAGAUGUUGGGUUAAGUCCCGCAACGAGCGCAACCCUUGCCUUUAGUUGCCAGCAUUAAGUUGGGCACUCUAGAGGGACUGCCAGGGAUAACCUGGAGGAAGGUGGGGAUGACGUCAAAUCAUCAUGCCCCUUAUGCUUAGGGCUACACACGUGCUACAAUGGGUGGUACAGAGGGCAGCCAAGUCGUGAGGCGGAGCUAAUCCCUUAAAGCCAUUCUCAGUUCGGAUCGUAGGCUGAAACUCGCCUACAUGAAGCUGGAGUUACUAGUAAUCGCAGAUCAGAAUGCUGCGGUGAAUGCGUUCCCGGGUCUUGUACACACCG